rnacentral:lncRNA from 10 species
GGCAAAAUGAAGCCUGUGAAGGGAUGAGUGCAGUGGAACCGAAGAAAGUGUCCUUAGUCUGAAAUGCCUUCGCGCUAACUUGGUGCUGCAGAGCCAACACAGAUCUAUAGAUUUCUUUGAACUCGGAAUCUCAUAGCACCAAUAUUUUUGCACAGAACUCUUACUUACAUGUCUCAUCGAAACUCCAGAACAAACAUCAAAAGAUACUUGAAUACCUACCAAGUAGAAGGCACUAUGCCAGCACUGCAUAGCUUUCCUUGAAGAAGAGCAAUUACUGCCCUUCAGGAGUGUAUAAUCUAGUAGGAGAAAUAAAAUAUUUACAUGAGUUUUACAUGUAGGAAACUGAAUGAAAAGUAAGUGUCAAAAUAAAUAUAAACCAAGUACCAUGGGUAAGGAGAAAUCACUGGUUUGGGAAUAAUUGGGUAAAAGGUUUAAUGAAAACAAGUUAGCGUUUUAGAUGGGGCUUGAAGGCUUGUGUGCUGUAUUAUACACCGUCUCCAUAGUAUUCAUUGUUAUGGCUAAUCAUCCAUAGUUUAUCUUACUAAAAAUAAUCAAAAUCUGAUUUCCAUCUUGCCUAUUAGAGUGACA